rnacentral:rRNA from 1 species
CAGGAUGAGCCCGCGGCCUNAUCAGCUUGUUGGUGGGGUAAUGGCCUACCAAGGCGUCGACGGGUAGCCGGCCUGAGAGGGUGGACGGCCACAUUGGGACUGAGACACGGCCCAAANUCCUACGGGAGGCAGCAGUGGGGAAUAUUGCACAAUGGGCGCAAGCCUGAUGCAGCGACGCCGCGUGGGGGAUGACGGCCUUCGGGUUGUAAACUCCUUCCAACCAUGACGAAGCUUUUUGUGACGGUAGUGGUAGAAGAAGCACCGGCUAACUACGUGCCAGCAGCCGCGGUAAUACGUAGGGUGCGAGCGUUGUCCGGAAUUACUGGGCGUAAAGAGCUCGUAGGUGGUUUGUCGCGUCGUCUGUGAAAUUCCGGGGCUUAACUCCGGGCGUACAGGCGAUACGGGCAUAACUUGAGUACUGUAGGGGAGACUGGAAUUCCUGGUGUAGCGGUGAAAUGCGCAGAUAUCAGGAGGAACACCGAUGGCGAAGGCAGGUCUCUGGGCAGUUACUGACGCUGAGGAGCGAAAGCAUGGGUAGCGAACAGGAUUAGAUACCCUGGUAGUCCAUGCCGUAAACGGUGGGCGCUAGGUGUGGGGGUCUUCCACGACUUCCGUGCCGUAGCUAACGCAUUAAGCGCCCCGCCUGGGGAGUACGGCCGCAAGGCUAAAACUCAAAGGAAUUGACGGGGGCCCGCACAAGCGGCGGAGCAUGUGGAUUAAUUCGAUGCAACGCGAAGAACCUUACCUGGGCUUGACAUAUGCAGGAUCGGCACAGAGAUGUGUUUUCCCUUGUGGUCUGUAUACAGGUGGUGCAUGGUUGUCGUCAGUUCGUGUCGUGAGAUGUUGGGUUAAGUCCCGCAACGAGCGCAACCCUUGUCUUGUGUUGCCAGCACGUUAUGGUGGGGACUCGCGAGAGACUGCCGGGGUUAACUCGGAGGAAGGUGGGGAUGACGUCAAAUCAUCAUGCCCCUUAUGUCCAGGGCUUCACACAUGCUACAAUGGUCGGUACAGUGGGUUGCUACACCGUGAGGUGGUGCUAAUCCCUUUAAAGCCGGUCUCAGUUCGGAUUGGAGUCUGCAACUCGACUCCAUGAAGUCGGAGUCGCUAGUAAUCGCAGAUCAGCAACGCGCG